GAUGAACGCUGGCGGCGUGCCUAAUACAUGCAAGUCGAGCGAACAGAUGAGGAGCUUGCUCCUCUGACGUUAGCGGCGGACGGGUGAGUAACACGUGGAUAACCUACCUAUAAGACUGGGAUAACUUCGGGAACCCGGAGCUAAUACCGGAUAAUAUAUUGAACCGCAUGGUUCAUUAGAGAAAGACGGUUUUGCUGUCCCUUAUAGAUGGUUCCGGGCCGCAUUAGCUAGUUGGUAAGGUAACGGCUUACCAAGGCAACGAUGCGUAGCCGACCUGAGAGGAUGAUCGGCCACACUGGAACUGAGACACGGUCCAGACUCCUACGGGAGGCAGCAGUAGGGAAUCUUCCGCAAUGGGCGAAAGCCUGACGGAGCAACGCCGCGUGUGUGAUGAAGGUCUUCGGAUCGUAAAACUCUGUUAGUAGGGAAGAACAAAUGUGUAAGUAUCUAUGCACGUCUUGACGGUACCUAAUCAGAAAGCCACGGCUAACUACGUG
rnacentral:rRNA from 1 species